rnacentral:lncRNA from 1 species
UGGAAAAUUGUAUUUGCUAGAAUAUUUACUAUAAGGAACCAAGUCCAUUCACUUAUAGCUUUAAAGAAUGAUAGCUGUAAAAAUUGAAUUUGUUUCCCAGUUAUUUUAGGAUUAACCCAUAGAUAGUGACCUCACUAAUCUUGUCUUCCUUCACCUCACUCAUAUAUAAACAAUGUAAACUUCUUUUUUGGGAAAAAUAUUUAAGAUUUGCCUCACUAUCCAUACUACUUUGCAACCGAUUUUGUUG